UGAACGCUGGCGGCAGGCUUAACACAUGCAAGUCGAGCGGUAGCACAGGGGAGCUUGCUCCCUGGGUGACGAGCGGCGGACGGGUGAGUAAUGUCUGGGAAACUGCCUGAUGGAGGGGGAUAACUACUGGAAACGGUAGCUAAUACCGCAUAACGUCGCAAGACCAAAGAGGGGGACCUUCGGGCCUCUUGCCAUCAGAUGUGCCCAGAUGGGAUUAGCUAGUAGGUGGGGUAAUGGCUCACCUAGGCGACGAUCCCUAGCUGGUCUGAGAGGAUGACCAGCCACACUGGAACUGAGACACGGUCCAGACUCCUACGGGAGGCAGCAGUGGGGAAUAUUGCACAAUGGGCGCAAGCCUGAUGCAGCCAUGCCGCGUGUGUGAAGAAGGCCUUCGGGUUGUAAAGCACUUUCAGCGAGGAGGAAGGUGGUGAGCUUAAUACGUUCAUCAAUUGACGUUACUCGCAGAAGAAGCACCGGCUAACUCCGUGCCAGCAGCCGCGGUAAUACGGAGGGUGCAAGCGUUAAUCGGAAUUACUGGGCGUAACGCGCACGCAGGCGGUUUGUUAAGUCAGAUGUGAAAUCCCCGGGCUCAACCUGGGAACUGCGUUUGAAACUGGCAAGCUAGAGUCUCGUAUAGGGGGGUAAAAUUCCAGGAGUAGCGGUGAAAUGCGUAGAGAUCUGGAGGAAUACCGGUGGCGAAGGCGGCCCCCUGGACGAAGACUGACGGUCAGGAGCGGAAGGGUGGGGAGCAAACAGGAUUAGAUACCCUGGUAGUCCACGCAGAAAACGAUGUCGAUUUGGAGGUUGUGC
rnacentral:rRNA from 1 species